AAUAAUGGAAGAGCUGAUAAGGGACUUGAUUAAUAACAAUUUAAGGAGAAUAACUAAUUACAAUCAACAUGAGUUAAUGGAAAAUAGAUCUUAUUAAAUGAAAUUGAUAUAAUUUUUCAAGAAUGUGAUUAUAGAUUUGAUUGAUUUAGUACAUUUCAUCAACAGUGUUACGUUUGACUUCAGCGAGGCAUUUAACUUAAUGUUGUCUCAUUUAUUAGGAAGCUAAAACAAUGUAAAAUCAACACGGGCCGUGCUAAACGGAUGAGAACCCUGCUGAUAGGUUUAGACACAUCCGAGGAGCCUCCCAAGCGGCCGCCUUUCUGUUCAUCACUUUUAGCAAACGCUAGAAAAUCAAAACUCAUUACAGUCAAAGUUUGCUGAUGAGAUUUGGAGCUGGACCGUGGCUGCAGUGUGGAUGGGUCUCUGCCUCAGAGCUGCGCUGCUCCUGAGCCAGGGGGAUGUGAGUGAGCUCCAGCUGCUUUAACACAAAGCCACGCUCCCAGGAACCAGGAUUUCACUGCAGGGAGGAGGGAUCCUCUUACACAGCGCUGGAAUCCUGAUAAAACAGUGGAGUGAAAUACCUCUGGAGGAACACCUAAUGGGACACUGCAGCUAUUUCUGGUGCCUGUGACUCUGGAAGGAUGGUGAUGAACGGGAGAGGGCACACGGGAAUGACUGAGGCGUCACAAAACAUGCCUUACAGUGACAGACUCAAGGACCCCAAUGUGCUUAGCUUAACAAAGGGAAGGCUAAGAGAUGGCUUAAUGACAAUCCAGAUGUAUUCAGACAGGGUACAGGGAUGCAGAAAGGGAGAGCCCUUCAAUCUAACAGACAGAGCGAUAAAAAGAGCUGGUGACUGGAAGCUGACGCUAUUAAAUUCCAUCUGGGAAGGGUGUUUGGAGAGAAAUAACACCAGAACAACUUCCCUACAGAUGGUUUCAUCAUCAUUGGCCAUUUCUAACUCAUGCUGGCUUUUUUUCCUUUUGGUUUUUUUUAAGCCAUAAUCUUGAUCCACCAAAGAUCACUGUGAAUCGACACAGGCACGCUCACUGCACGAAUGGGAUGGGCCUUUUUUGAGUUUUAAUCUUCUUAAUAAUGAGUAUUUAAGCCACCAUCCUCAAGCACUGAGUGGAACCAUUCCCUUUUCCCAGAGUUAUUGUUCUGGCCUUGGUGGGCACUCACACAGACACCUCAGUGUUAUUGGUACUUCAUCUUUGCCAGCAGAGAGGCUGGAAAAGUCCUCUAAAACCCCAUAAAACAAACCUGGCCUACAUCCCCCUGCUAUAAAAAAAAAAAAAAUCCAAAAUACAGUGCCAAAGAGAGCAGCUCAAAGCUCAAAGUACACGAAGAACUUGAAUUCCAGUGGUUCAGUAAAAUCCUGCUGCUCCCCAUCUGCUGCCAUAGCUUGAUGGACUUUUCAGGGAAAUGACACAUCCGUGUUCCUUAAGAGUUGCUAAAAUUGUGAGUGGAAAAGGUGUAGUUUCAUAACAGACUCAUCCAUACCCAGGAAAACACAGAAUGAGAGAGUGCUGCAACCUUGGGGACUUUCUGCACGAGCUCCAUCAUGUCCCUGCUCUCUGGUUUGGAAGAUGCUGAAAUUUCUCCUUCCAUGGAAAUUAUUCAGCAGAAGUUCCAGCUACAGACCUUCAAUCAGAAACUCCAGGAGCCAGGCAUGGACUUCUCCUGGGACUGGUCUGCAAGACCCAGCUGAUGUCUCACUGUUCAUCCAGAUGUACUUGGGGACCAAACAGCAGCCCAAGGACCUUCCUGCAGCCACUGCACAAGGUACGUGUGCCUGAUGGUUUUAAUUUGCUGCAGGAGUCAAGUGCCAAAGUGAAAGGAGUUUGCAGUGGCAACUCCUUCAUUUUAAACUAUUUUCUUGUGUAAGGAAGGUCCCUCAUGUCCUCUGUCUCCCUACAGCAGUCAGAUCGUACUCCUCUCCUGAAGGCCAUGCCUUUGCACAUCACUCUGGUAAGAGCAUAUUCAGGGCUCUAAAUUUGUUUUAAAAUACACUUCCUAACUUAGAGAUUUCCUGCAGAAAGGCAGAGGAAAAAAGCUGCUUUGGAAAUGUUAGGAAGAAGCAGCAUUGACUCAUCAGUGAUAUGAAUGGGGAAAGCCAGAGGGACCUUCUCAUCUCUAAUGUGAUUUUAUGAUUCAGUGAAUAAUGCAUAUUAGCAUAAUACUAACUAAAAAAAUCCAUACUCAUCAUAGAAUCACAGCUAUCAACAUUAUCCUAUUAUUAAUUAUUAACAUUUACACUAUCAAUCAGCCCCUGGCUGACUGAUAGCUUAAAAUCUUGCAUAAAGAUGGUUACAACAAUAGCCACACUACAUCACGUAAUGUGCUUCACAGUCGGGCUGUGAUAUCCUCAUCUAUAAAGCUUUUUACUAAUGCACUUUACAACAUAUCUUACAGUACAUAGAUGAAGAAUGUGGCUGCACCCAGUAAUAAUUCCAUUAAUUAUGAAUAAAGCAUUUACAAAUGACAUCCUUAUUUAAAAUUAGUGAUGAACACAUUUUGGUUUAAUGCAGAUGCACUGUGUAAUUUGUAAUUGGAUAAAAAGCAAUGCUGGCAGCAUGGGGUAGGGGAAAAGGGCCAAGAUCUUAUGAUCUUUGCAUCAGCAAGGAAAGGGGGGGAAAAAAACAGUGGAGAAAAUGAUUGACAAACAACAAAACAUUGGCAUAAAGCUGACCAAACUCCAAGGUGAUGGUUGAAAGCAAUGAUUAAAGGUGCCCUGCAGAGCUGAAAGGGAAAAAUCCUUACCCACUGACCUUGCACUGCAGUUGUGUUAAUAAAAUUCACUCCUAUAUUAAUAAAGUCUAUAUUUUCAUUGCUUUCUCUCAUUUCAGUGUUUUCAGCUGGCUGGCAGCUCACCAAGACUCGUUAGCCACAUCCAGUUUGCCUUUGCAGUACCUUGGUACCGCUUUGUCCUGUAGGCUCUCGGAGAUGGCAGAAUAUUUAUUACAUACAAUAUUUCACUGAGGCUACUUACGUCAAGAGGCUAUAAAUACAUUACUCUUCCCAGUUUACUUAAGGGAUAAAAAGUGAGUAGCUAAGUUUACAGAGCAGGCUCAGGCUCUAUUAAUGUGUGGUCUGUUCAUUUUCAUAUAGAUCUCAAUUGUUUGAAAUUAUUUUCCAGAUUAAUCCUGUGAGUGAUUCUUGCCUUGGUGAUCAUUUCCGAGCAAUGCUGCUCGACUUGGGCAGUGGUCAUAUUCAGGUUAUUACAUGUAUUAUGGAAGAAAGGUUAAUUUAAACUGUGAAUAUUUAUGUGGUCAUAGUUUUCUACUGAGAGCCUUGUGCCAAGAACUUCUUAUACUGAGGUUCAACUAUUUCAAUGUGUCCCACUCAGGGAUGCAAAAAUCCCAGCAGUUCACCUCUGGCCACACUGGUAUGGGAACAAGAGCUUUGGUGGUCAGGAGAAAGUCAGAAAACUCCUUUUAGUUUCUUUUUCCCUGAAUUUCCCCAUUGUUUACAGCAGUCUGGAUCAACAAGAUGCCUGGAUAAUGCACAGGCCAUGGUGUCAUGUGUCUGUUAGCACGGAGCCAGAGCUGUGCAUGGUGCUGCGUGCUGAGGUUCCGCAGACUCAGGGAGUCAGAGAGAGGCCUGGAUCCAUCACAUAAAGUUAAGGGGGAAAAUUGCCUUGGGAGGGAUCUAGUUUUGGGUUCAGGCAGAUCUUUCUGCAUAUUUUCCAAGGAGAUGAGAUUGCAAGCCAGAGCUAAGCUAGUCAGGAAUUCUGUCUGAAUUAUUUUCACAUUCUCUUUUGAUGUCCUGUCCAUGGGUGAUACCUAGUGCAAUGCAUGACACCUGACAUGGCCCUUUCCCCAUAUUUUCAAGUUAAUAAAUGUAGUAAAAAAUAAUAUACAGUGUUUAUUGCCAGGACUGUCAGGGAGGACACUGCAUUCCCCCUCUUCUCCAAACCCAGGGAGUGUAGGAGAUGCUGCUGUAAUUACAGGUCUCCUUGUGCAAGACUGCUUUGAAAUUCCCAAUAUUUCUCCAAACCACCAGCAAGUCGGUUUUCAGAGCUGCCUGACAGAGAAUUUAUUUAUUAAGGUCUUGGCUGUUUGCAGCAGUGGCUGGGCAGCAGCAGUUCCGCAGAGUUAUCAAAAAUCUAUUUCCUUGCAGAGUCACAAGUAAAAUAUCAAACCCCCUUUGAAAAGCCAAGUGCAACAUUUACAUUUUAAUCUCCCCAAACACUUUCGUUUCUGACAAACUGGGUUUUUUGGUCUGUGUGUUAUGGAGAGGAGAGGCAGUGGGGCUGGAGGAGGAAGGUUUAUAGCCCUGGGAGGAAGUGUGGGCUGCUUUGAGUGUGUGACACUGCUGGAGUGGCAUGGUGACCUCCCCGUGCACCGGGACUGCAAGGACUGUCACCCUUCAGCACUGCUGGGGCCAGGUGAGAAAGAAAAGCAGCCUGGCCCCAAAAUCUAGCAGUGCAGGGCAUCAAACACAGAGCUGGGUUAGCAACUACAUUUGCACAUGUAGAAAAGGAGGAGCAGUAGCCCUGUGCUGGGCACAGCCUCUCCUGGCUACCAACAGCCCGCAUGGGGGGUCAGUGGCCACUUGCAGCCACUGAUCUAUAGAGGCAAAAGCCUUUAUUUCACUGUCUGUUCACACCUCUGCCUGGGGUUAACUGGGCUGAAGUGGAGCAGCUGGCUGGACCCCAGCUCUACAGUUUGUGGUCUGGCAACAAAAGCCGCUCUGCCUUUCCCUUGCUGUCAGCGGGGCUGAGGUCCUGCGCUGCCUCUGUGGAGUCGCUGCAGCAAGCCAUGAAUUAUGGAUGAAGUGAAAAAUCCCAGCCUGGUGCACAGAGGGAAUAUGCAAAGUGCAGAGCGAUCACCUUUGUGUGUGAGCCUUGCUUUGUGCCACCUUCACACGCACGAGGCCCAAAACACUCCGCUCUGCUUCGGCUGCGACACCCUCGGCCCACAGGGCCCAGGAUUCCCUCCUCCUGAGGGAUCUGCUUCUGAAAUGAUGUUCAUUGAUUUGAAAAGCACGUCCUGGUGCUUUGUGGGAUGUUCCUGGGAGCUACUGAGGGUGCUGUGUGGAUGAGCUGUGUGGAGCUCACACUCAGAGGUGCAGGCACGGGCAGGACGGGUGUCUGGGACAGGCUGGCCCUGGGCAAAUCUGCCAUGGUGCCAUGGGCAACUCCUGCACAUCCACUCCAGGAGAGCUCCUGAGCACAUGAACACACAUUUGCAGGUGAGGUGAUGCAGGAGUUCCCACCCAGGCACGGCCUUUCCACACACAGAGGAUCCCUCAGGGGAUCUGCAGAGGCGACAGCUCCCACCAGAGCUCCCUUUGCUUGAAGCAAAGCAUCGGAAAAGCGCUUGACAGGCUCUGACUUCAAGAGUCUGUGAUUUGGGGAAGUCUUUCUACUCCUAACUUCUCCUUCAGAGAGAAGAUGCCAUUCAGGAGGCAUUUUUAAAAUGUCUUUUAAUUUUUAAAUGCUUUAGGUCCUCCUUUGCCAAUCCAGCUCUCUGCUUUUGUGCACCAUCUAAUAAUGUGCUUCCACACAGCCAUUUCUGAGUGUGCAAUAUCAACAUCUGGGCUAAAAUCAAGCAGAAAUUUUUCCCUGAAGCAAAAUUUUGCUCUGUAUUAUUGUUACUUUUUUUUUUUCCUAUUUAAUGGUUUGCUUGUCAUGGGGCCUCUUCAGCCUCUUAUUUUCAGGAAAUGAAGGUUCUCUGCCUCUCGCUCCUUGUCAAAGACACCCUGGCAGGCGAGAGCAGCAUUACCCUUGUCCCACCUCCUAAAAGCAUUUUACUGAGUGCUCACUAAAACUGUGCUGCAGUUAAACACCCCACUGAACUGGGUGCCUGAUAUGCAGCAGGUUGGCAGAAUUAAUUUAUUGGUGUUAGUACAGCCUUUUGAACUUCUCCUGCUACGUAGGUGUCAAUGAUGAUAAGAAGAAUAAAAAUAUUAUUUUAUUAUUAUUUGUAUUGUUAUUCUGACUUUCCAUCAUAGCCAAUGAUGAACAUUCCCCUGUGCAGGUAUUUAAGCUAUCCUGUGGGAGACUCUUUGUUCUUGGUAUGAUUAUUUUAAGAAGUCCUUUAGCACAUCAAAUCAUCAAAUAAUUUCCCUAGGCAAGGAUUUAUAGGAAGGUCUUGAGAGCUGUCAGAGUAAUGAUUUCCAGCAGUGAAAACUUAACCUUCUCUUUGAUUUUCAUUUCUGUUUUGUCCUGGGUGUAGCUGCAGUGAGUGCUUGGUCACAGCCAUCAGGAUGGAGGAGAUGUGCUGUCAGUUGUUUUAUUUUUGAUCCCAUUUGAAUGUGUCAAUCAACUGCCUCGAAUCAAAGAAAGUGAGAAGGAGCCUUUAACUGUUGUGAUUGAAAACUUCAGACUUACCUUUUUUUUCUUAUUUUUAUAGACACUAAGUAAAUGGUUGGCAGGUUCUUGUGAAUCAUAACAUUUCUAAAUAUAUCAAAGAGGCUCUUUGCCAAGCUGCUGGAGAAGGUGGUGUCUAUUCCUAUUGACUCCUUUCUCCCCUUCAGAUUACUUUUGCAUUUAAUAAUUUCAAAUCAUAACACAAAAAAUUAGAGACUCUUAACUAGGCUGGCUAAGGCUGUGAUUAAUGAAAGUGUAAUUCAAGCUACUGUAGAGCUAUUAGAAACCAGUUAGCUAAUUAGUGUAAUCACAGAGGUGGAAAUAAUUAAGAGACCAUAAAAUAGAGGUAACCUAAUAACAACAUUUUCCUCUGACCCAGAACUGGUGAGAAAAGGAUGGUUUGUUAGGUUAGGAAGGGAGAGGAGUGAGGAUGGAAUGUUCUGCAAGUAAUCACUGUCAGGGAGGUCUCAGAGCACAGACAAGUAGAACAGAGCAGAUUUUACACCAACAUAAUCCAGACUGCAGCAGAAUCCUCUGGCAAUGGUGCUUCACACCUCUGCAUCCCUCUCCCAUCUUAUGCACUGCCACAAUUCAGUGACAGACAAUCAAGACACGGUGAGGCAGGAACUGGCUGCCUUGCUCUUUCUUACUUUGUCCCUUUUCUUCUUUCCCAGGUUAUUAGCAAACAUAAUAUUAAAACUAACUUCACCUUGCAGUGCCUGAGUUGACCAGGUUUGGUUUCAGGAAAAGGAGAAUCCUAAGGUGUUUAAGAAGAAAAUCCUGUUAGAGGAUUCCCUGUAUUUAUAGAGUUCCUCAUGUAUUUAUGUAUGUUAUUCACUACAGUUUCACAGGACUCUACAGCUGGUUGAAACAUCUCAUGCUAAGAGGGAAGAGUCUCUCUGGGCAGAGGAGAAUGGUGCAGUGAUUGGUGAGGGUGGCAGUCACUUCCAGAGCUGCUCACAGGAGAUGGGUGCCAAGCAGAUGUGUCUCCCCUUAAACCCUCCUCUGCUGCCUUUGCCCCCAGGGCAGCACUGGCACACUGGAUCCUGAACAACCCCAAAAUGUGUCCCAGUGCUCCCCAUGCAGGAUUUCCAGGCCAAUGAGAGAUGUGGGACAAUGUCAUGGGCUGGAUCUCACUCCUGGUGUUCGAAGUGACCUACCCCUGGCUGCUGGAUGAAACAGGCAAUAAAAAUUCUUAACCUGUAAUUUUCCAGCUGGAGUGGGUGACCACCACGACCAUCUCCAUUGGUUCUUAGCAGUUCUGCCACGGUUUGUGUGUGUUUCGUUUGACCUGGGUCUAAUGAGCACAGAAGAGGAGCUGCAGACACACAAUCAAGGCUCAGCCGCCGAGGCUGAUGAGUCUGCCGAGACUGCUAAGUGGGUCUUCAUUAGCAAUUCACAUGCGAGGAGCAACCCUUAUUUAUUCUUCUUUCCUAGGUGAAUCUAUUUUUGAAUAUCUUUUGUAGUGAUCUUGUCUGGGGAGGGUGGCGGGGAGAUUGGAUGGAGGGCACCACCACUGCUGGUUAACUGGAUUAUUGUCCUGGAAAAACAGGCUGUGACACCAAGCUGGCAGCAAGCUGCAAAGAAGAAACAAUGUGAUGCCAUUUAGAGAAGGAAGAAAUCAUUUUCCCCAGUGACAUCUCUGGUGAGAGGCAGAACUUUAUCUUCUCUUUGCAGCUCAAAUGAAGCAUCACAGCAGUAGCAUUAAGUAUGCUUCCACGUUUCCAGCUUGUCUUUUCAUUAACUUUUUUGGGUUUGGUUUUUUUUGCUGUAGCAGGGAGCACACUUUCCAGGGAGGGUUUGUGGGUGAGUCACUGGAGCUGCAAGGCCAGGAUGUCCCAGGCUGGUCCCCAGGCUGUGGCACAUGUGCUGCUGUUGCAGCCAAAUGGAUGAGCCUGGUGGUCUGCAGGGAAGAAGGGAAACCUGAUUUAUGUCCACCUUUCUGGUGGAGAGAGGAUUUUGGAGCAGCAGGUCACAGUGAGCCUUGCUCCACGUGUGCUUUCAUCCCCCCAGCUCAGACAUGUGGAUCACCUGGGAUGUCCUGGGACAUCCUGAAGGACACCGAGCGGGCAGUGCUUGACCUCCGGCAGCACCAGUGGCUCCACGUUUCAUGUGAACGAGCCCCUUUUCCACACUGGACACUUAAACGCUCUCCUUUAAGCUUUUCCUCGGGCGGGGCUGGGCCGGUGGGGUGCGGAUCCUGCCGCCCUCACCUGCCUGUGGCGAAGGCUGCCCUCUCCCGACGCCGGGAUCCGAGGGAUGCUGUGGCUGAGCCGGGCCAGCAUCCCCCGGCAGCGCCCACCCUGCUCCCCGCGGCACCGUGCCCUGCCCAGCCCGAGGAAAAGCUGCCAGCCAUCAGCACAGAGCAGCACCCAGAUGGCCUCGGGCAUCCCCCGAGCUGCCCCAGCACCGCCUGCCUCCGAUGCUGGAUCCAACCUGCAUCCCCUCUGGCACCAUGGGGAUGCUGCUUGAGGAACCUCCUGCUGAAUUGCUUUUUACCCAUCCCAGCCCUUCCAAACGUGCUCGGUACCUUUUUCCUUUUUGUUUCGUUUUUAUAAUUUGGUAGUGUAGGUGUGAAUCCCGUACUCUGAGUUAUCUUUCCCCAGCUGAGUCUGUUUGUGCUGCAGACUGUGUGGGUGACACCCUCGGGAAAGCCACGUUUAGCAGCACAUUGCUCCAGGAAAGUGUUUUUAUAUGAACAGAGAUGUGAGACAAACUCUUGCACCUCUGGGGUUGGCAAACUGCUGAUCCAUGAGAGAUGAGUUUUUUUUCCCCCCUUGUGAUUUUGACCUUACUUGCUGAAAGUGAAACAUCACCCAGCCUUCCAGGAAAUACCACAAAUCUUCUAUCUGAUAUAAGAACAUAAAUCUUCUGUAAGGGUUCAUCCAUUCUGUAUCUCAGGCCUCUGGAACUGAGGUGUGGACACUGGAGUGGGAAUCUCAGCCUCCUGGACCCAGGGCUGCUGAAUCUGAGCCCCUGCACCUCCCCAGCCUGGGGAAAAACAUCCCCAUGGGUUGGCCCUUACUGAGCUGGUUCUGCACCUGUACCUCAUGGAAAAAGGGGGGGAUUUGCCUGAAUCACCUUGAGCCUUUUAUAUUUUUAUGGGAGACAUGAAACUCUUCCCCUCCAGCUCUGAGUCUGGCUGAAAUAAAACACAGCCUAAAGCAACCAUCUGUCCAUGCUUCAGGCUCCCCAUAUCUCCUCCUGGGAAAGGCUGCAGAGGUGUGGGGCUCUGCACCCCACGCUCAGCAGGGCAGCCCCAGCUCACACCUGCAAGAACACAUUUCCUGAGAGGAUGCCUGCGGGUCCCUGACCUUGUCUGGGCACAAGCCUCUGUGGGUUUUGCCCCCACCCUGCUUUUUGGGGGGCCACAGAGGCCUUUCUGAGAAGGCAGUGGAGCAGCCAUGGGGUUAUUUGACCAGAAGAGGUUAUUUGUGGGAAGACGUGGCUGCAAAAUUUUCCACCCCCCACCCUCCAUGCGUGGUUUAGGAUGUUCUUUUGCUCAAGAACUUUGUGCUUUUACUUCUGCUCCCCCUGGGCUGUAUCCUUCAGUGUGCAAACCUCUUUGUUUCAUGGCUCUUCCCCAGAGAAAGAGCAUCCCAAACCCCAGUGGACCUGGGGAAGGCUCGGAGCCACCUUUGCACUUUGGUGUGUGUCCCUCUGCAUCAGCUCGGUGACAUUCCCAACCCUCAUCGUGCUGGGGAUCAUGGCUUUGACUGAGCCCACAGUGAUCCCCCUCCAAAAGCUUCAGAAAGUGAAAGUGUCCUUUUUUCUGCCUGGGCCACUUUUCCUUGUUUUACCACUAGAUGGGAGAGUGAGACUGGGCUAACUCAGCUGCUCCCCUCCUUACCCCGGCAGGAAUUCCGAGGGGAGAAGAGAGCUGACAGAUGCCCGAAAGUCAUCCCGCAAAUCCUCCCACCCCAGGAAGGGAUCGGGUAACUCCCAAAACGUCUGGUUGUUGCUUAACCCCAAAAGUGCACAGUCGAGGGGCUCUAAAUCUUUCCUGGUGUUUUCCCAAAAUACCAGGAGCCCCGUGGAUCCCACUCUGCCCUCAUGGAAGGGGGGUUCACUUAGACAAAGAUUGGAUAUAUUCUUGGGGCGAAACAUUUCAUAUUUUUCCUCAAAUCCACCUGUCCUAGAGCAGAGGGAGAUAGGGGCAGCACUUGUAAUUCAGUCCUCUCAUCCAUACCCCAGAUCCUGCAUCCCAGGAAUCCAGGUGACCCUAAAAAUUGUAUGGAGAGGUUAGAAAGUCAUAGAAUCACAGAAAAAUUAGGGCUGGAAGUGACUUUUGGAGAUCAUCUAGUCCAACACCCACCAGAUAAAUAUAAAUAAAGCAUCAUUUUCUCCUCCUUUCCUACUACAGGAUUUUCUUUCUCCUGUAGGAUUCUUGUGUAAGGAUCCACCCAGUGAUAUCAUUUUCCUGCAGAAAAUGAAACUGGGCUGUUGCAAUGAUUGCAUGUGCAGGAGGACAAUUCAUGCCUUGGUCUGACACAGCUCACCCUGGGAGCUGCUGUGGGUGAGGGAGGGGACAGCCCCUGGCCCAUUAAUGUCUUAGUAAAUUUGCUUUAACUGCAGCACUUCCCAGCUCCUGAGACUGCCCAAGGUUUUGCUGAGACUGGGUUUAUUUGGGAAUUAUAUAGCUGCAGAAGCGGUUUCUCAACCCAAUCAGAUUGUCCAGUUGGACUACUUUUAUUAUUGUUAGGUUUGGGGCUUUGAAAAGGAACAUUUUGCUUCCUGAGAUUUCACAGAUUUUGCAAGAAACCUCACAGCAGACAAAUUUUCCGACUGCCUGUGUGACUAGACCAGAAGAUGUAAUCCCUGUAAAGUGGAAAUUAUGUUUCUGCAGGGUUUUGCCCACUGCCCAACCUUCUAAAUUUGCAAGUUCUUCAGAGAAGUGACUCAUCUUAUGUGUUUAAUUCCUGGUAUAGUUGGGCAAGGAGAUGAAAUAAUUCUAAUAACUUCCCUAACUGCAGUACCCUUGUUGCCUCCAUUGGGGUCUCCUGGCUUUGCCACCACAGGAAACAUCUGACACUAUCCUGCUAGACAGAAAGAACAGCUUCUUUAGAAGACAAAGUCUGAUUUUUUACUGGCUCUAUCUACUCUUAUUUCCCAUAAGCAACAGCUGUCCCACCCUGGAUGUGCAAUGAGGCCACUGAGUCACCAUGGAGUGACCAGCUCAUUUACCUGGCAGGGGAAGACCAAAAAUCCCCUCCAUUAAAAAGAAGAGGAAUCUUCCUUCAGUUAAUAAGCAGAGGUGAAAAAAGAAAAAAAAA